ACGUUAAGUUCAGUAAUUAUUUAAAAAGUAGGAGGAUCACAACUCUUUCUACUUCAGAUAAAAACAAGACUACAUUGCAACACACAGACAUAAUUUUAUAGUAAUGGAGAAUAUAAAAAUGUGAGCUGAUGAUGUUACUGGAUAAAAACGUAUCAAAGUCAGUAGGAUUCAUCCUCUGAGGAACAUGAACGUCUGAACCAACGAUCCACAGAGACACUCUGCUAGUGGGUCUAAAAAGGACAUAAAAGAAGAGACAGUCAUGUUAAUAUGAACAUUAGAGAAACACAUCAUGGAGCUGGAAUAUGAUACUGGUUAAUAAUUUGGACUGGUUCACCUCAGCAGACACAUUCAACAGCUGACAGGUUUUUGUAUCACUCAGUUUCACUGUGAGAGGCAAAUUGAUCUACUGGAUCUUUGGCUCUGGAACUAAACUGAUUGUAUCAGAUGAGCCGGUAGUGAAGCCCGUGGUGAGGAGUGGAGGCCCACACAGAACAAGAGGUUCCAGCUCCAGCAGCCUCCUGUCCUCCAGAGAGAGAUCCACCAGACCAGCUAGCUCUGGAGGAAGCUGACUUGUCCUUCCAGUUUCAGUGCAGGGUGAAGUUGUUCUGUCUGCUGUACACACAGCUGAUAGUGAAG